GUGAGGAAUAUUGGACAAUGGGCGCAAGCCUGAUCCAGCCAUGCCGCGUGCAGGAAGACGCAUCUAUGGUGUGUAAACUGCUUUUGUACGGGAAGAAACACUCCCUCGUGAGGGAGCUUGACGGUACCGUAAGAAUAAGGAUCGGCUAACUUCGUGCCAGCAGCCGCGGUAAUACGGAGGAUCCAAGAGUUAUCCGGAAUCAUUGGGUUUAAAGGGUCCGUAGGCGGUUUAAUAAGUCAGUGGUGAAAGCCCAUCGCUCAACGAUGGAACGGCCAUUGAUACUGUUAGACUUGAAUUACAAGGAAGUAACUAGAAUAUUUAGUGUAGCGGUGAAAUGCUUAGAUAUUACAUGGAAUACCAAUUGCGAAGUCAGGUUACCAACCCAUUACUGACGCUGAGGCACGAAAGCGUGGGGAUCAAACAGUAUUAGAUACCCGAGUAGUCC
rnacentral:rRNA from 1 species